rnacentral:rRNA from 1 species
CCUACGGGUGGCAGCAGUGGGGAAUCUUGCGCAAUGCUCGUAAGAGUGACGCAGCGACGCCGCGUGAAUGACGAAGGCCUUCGGGUCGUAAAGUUCUUUCGACAGGGAAGAAAAUGCCUAUAAGUAACUGUGUAUGUAUUGACGGUACCUGUAUAAGCAGCCCAGGCUAACUCCGUGCCAGCAGCCGCGGUAAUACGGAGGGGGCGAGCGUUGUUCGGAGGGACUGGGCGUAAAGAGCACGUAGGCGGUGUUGUAAGUCAUUAGUCAAAGACUAGAGCUCAACUUUAGUAAGGCUAGUGAUACUAUAAUACUAGAGUAGCAGAGAGGAUGGCAGAAUUCCUGGUGUAGCGGUGAAAUGAGUAGAUAUCAGGAGGAAUACCGUUAGCGAAGGCGGCAAUCUGGCUGGAAACUGACGCUGAGGUGCGAAAGCGUGGGUAGCAAACAGGAUUAGAUACCCCGGUAGUC